UACGGGGGGGGCAAGCGUUGUUCGGAAUUACUGGGCGUAAAGGCUCGUAGGCGGCCAACUAAGUCAGACGUGAAAUCCCUCGGCUUAACCGGGGAACUGCGUCUGAUACUGGAUGGCUUGAAUCCGGGAGAGGGAUGCGGAAUUCCAGGUGUAGCGGUGAAAUGCGUAGAUAUCUGGAGGAACACCGGUGGCGAAGGCGGCAUCCUGGACCGGCAUUGACGCUGAGGAGCGAAAGCCAGGGGAGCAAACGGG
rnacentral:rRNA from 1 species